rnacentral:rRNA from 1 species
GAGUUUGAUCCUGGCUCAGGAUGAACGCUGGCGGCGUGCCUAAUACAUGCAAGUCGAGCGAAUGGAUUAAGAGCUUGCUCUUAUGAAGUUAGCGGCGGACGGGUGAGUAACACGUGGGUAACCUGCCCAUAAGACUGGGAUAACUCCGGGAAACCGGGGCUAAUACCGGAUAACAUUUUGAACGCAUGGUUCGAAAUUGAAAGGCGGCUUCGGCUGUCACUUAUGGAUGGACCCGCGUCGCAUUAGCUAGUUGGUGAGGUAACGGCUCACCAAGGCAACGAUGCGUAGCCGACCUGAGAGGGUGAUCGGCCACACUGGGACUGAGACACGGCCCAGACUCCUACGGGAGGCAGCAGUAGGGAAUCUUCCGCAAUGGACGAAAGUCUGACGGAGCAACGCCGCGUGAGUGAUGAAGGCUUUCGGGUCGUAAAACUCUGUUGUUAGGGAAGAACAAGUGCUAGUUGAAUAAGCUGGCACCUUGACGGUACCUAACCAGAAAGCCACGGCUAACUACGUGCCAGCAGCCGCGGUAAUACGUAGGUGGCAAGCGUUAUCCGGAAUUAUUGGGCGUAAAGCGCGCGCAGGUGGUUUCUUAAGUCUGAUGUGAAAGCCCACGGCUCAACCGUGGAGGGUCAUGAAACUGGGAGACUUGAGUGCAGAAGAGGAAAGUGGAAUUCCAUGUGUAGCGGUAAAUGCGUAGAGAUAUGGAGGAACACCAG